GUUACUACCUAGUAUCUCAUUGUUUUAUAAAAACCCUAAUUUCUCACAUCUCUGCAUCUGGUUAUCUGGAGAGGUUGAAGAACCGGAAUAUAUUUUUCCGAUGGUCUUGCUUACUCCACCGAUCUAAAUUCGGCUAAAGAUUCUAAGAUCAGUUACACGAGAGAUCAAACCCUCGAAUUUAGUGUUCGUCGAGUCGAGGCAAUUACGAUGAUUUUGAAUCCUCGAUUAAUCUGUUUAUGAAUUGUGUUUCUUUGUUACUUUAUUUGAUUGUUUCUUUUUUACAGCGUCUCUCGUUUUCUGUUACUGUUUCUUAAUUUGUAUCAUCGAUACGUUGAUCAUCUUGCUUUCAUUUGUUUCGAUCGAUUCUGUUAGGUUCAUCAUCAAUACUAUCGAAGAUAGUUUUUACCGAUUUGUGAUUUGUUUGAUUUGGUUUUGAUAACGAUCGGGGAUACUGAAAUAGAAGAUCUGUUUUAGGUUUAGGUUUUGUGGUUUAGGUGAUCGAAGAUGAAGUAGUUUUGUGGUGCUCUGUUUCUUGGUUUAGAUUUUGUUCUGAAUCACCGGUUUGAUUCUUGUUCUGAUUCUUCUGGUUUAUACAUAUAUUUUUUUUUUAUGCUACAGAUUUGAUUAAACUCUUCUUUGGUUGAUGAAAAGGAGAAAGAGACGCUUUUCUUCUCUACAUCGUUACAUGAUGAUGGUGAUAUCAUAUAAGUGUGGUUCUGAUUCAUUAUAGUGUUAUGUGUAAUCAAGGAAGCGGCUCUUAGCUGCAAAUUCAAGAGCAUAUAAUGUGGAUUCAAAAUCAGAAAACAGAGAAGUAUGGAUUGAUUGUUGGCGAUAAUUGAAGAAUGCCUAUAAUUACAUAGUUACAUGCAUUUAUUCGCACAUACAUACAUACAUACAUACAUACAUUCAUGUGUCCUUGCAUUCUACAUACAUCAUAUAUGCAUGCAUACAUCCAUGCAUACAUACAUCCAUGCAUACAUACAUGCAUACAUACAUACAUGCAUACAUACAUAUAUGCAUACAUACAUACAUAAAAUACAUACAUACAUGGAUAGUUGCAUAUUUGAUUGCCUUGCACAUUCAUAAUUGCUUCCUUACUUCUGCAUUCAUUCAUUGCUUGUUUGCUUGCUUGCUUAUUUGCUUGCUUGCUCGCUUCCUUGUUUUCUUUUUUUUCUGCUUGCAUACAUCAGGCGAUGCAUAAGAUGAAAAAUGAGUUUGUGAUAUUCUGGGACGGUCUGAAGACAAAGGAAAAGGACCAUGUUCUGGUUCUUGCAGCAACAAAGACAUUUUGACCUUGAUGAGGCUAUCAUUAGAAAGGUUGCCUCGUAGGUAAUUUUAUAAAUAUCUUUCUUGUUGGACUAAUCUUUAUGUCAAAUUGACUUCUGCAGGUUGAUGGUGGGACUACCAGAUGCUCUGAAUAUAACAAAAGAAGACUUUUCCACUGAUUUGGAUAUUGAUGGAGUUAAUAGUAUGACUAAUAGAUAUUCUAGAACGAUCUCGAGGUAAAUUCCUAGUAAUUUCUAUCAUAUAUCAAGUCAAAAUGAUUAGAAAUGCUCAUAUAUUUCCAUGUUACAUGCUCUUUUGGUGCGUGCAUAAUCAAUGUGUUACUGGAGAUAAUGGAGAAGGAAAAAACUACAAUGGAGAUGAUUCGAAGGAGUAUGACGUCAGCCCUAGUAAAGAUUGGGAAACGAGAAUACGGACGGUUGGAGUGUGACGUAGCAUUGUCAGCCUCACCCACCAAACUCGGCCAUAGACCUCUUUUCCAGUUUCCACUAAACUUGUCUCACGUACAUUUUCGAUAUAUAUGUUACAAGAGUUGUCAACUGUAUUUAUACGUAUAACUGGUUACAUAUGUGUUUUUUAAUGGAGAUAUACAUGUCGAGAUUUAAAGGU